GACGAACGCUGGCGGCGUGCCUAAUACAUGCAAGUAGAACGCUGAAGAGAGGAGCUUACUCUUCUUGGAUGAGUUGCGAACGGGUGAGUAACGCGUAGGUAACCUGCCUUGUAGCGGGGGAUAACUAUUGGAAACGAUAGCUAAUACCGCAUAACAAUGGAUGACACAUGUCAUUUAUUUGAAAGGGGCAAUUGCCCCACUACAAGAUGGACCUGCGUUGUAUUAGCUAGUAGGUGAGGUAAUGGCUCACCUAGGCGACGAUACAUAGCCGACCUGAGAGGGUGAUCGGCCACACUGGGACUGAGACACGGCCCAGACUCCUACGGGAGGCAGCAGUAGGGAAUCUUCGGCAAUGGGGGCAACCCUGACCGAGCAACGCCGCGUGAGUGAAGAAGGUUUUCGGAUCGUAAAGCUCUGUUGUAAGUCAAGAACGGGUGUGAGAGUGGAAAGUUCACACUGUGACGGUAGCUUACCAGAAAGGGACGGCUAACUACGUG
rnacentral:rRNA from 1 species